CUCAGUUCGGAUUNUAGGCUGAAACUCGCCUACAUGAAGCUGGAGUUGCUAGUAAUCGCGAAUCAGCAUGUCGCGGUGAAUACGUUCCCGGGCCUUGUACACACCGCCCGUCACACCAUGAGAGUUGGCAAUACCCAACGUACGUGAUCUAACCCGCAAGGGAGGAAGCGUCCUAAGGUAGGGUCAGCGAUUGGGGUGAAGUCGUAACAAGGUAUC
rnacentral:rRNA from 1 species